rnacentral:tRNA from 1 species
AGUAAAGAAGUAAAAUAUUACAAUUAGUUUCGACCUAAUUAUAGGGAUUAACCUCAUACUUUAAUU